AAUUUACAGUAAAAAGUCAACCAGGAUCAAAAUACAUGACACUUUUAUCUCUACAUUGCCGCAAUUCCGAAGCUUUGCGUUGCUCGGUUUUACACACGGGAAGUGCAAGUUUAUGGAAGCUUGUCAAUCACUUCAUAUGAAUCAGUUAUCAACCAAUCAGAGCACUGCGUCCAAAUAUUGGACGCAUGCACCGAAUCAUCAAAGGGAUCCUUGCAGGCUCUCUUUCCCCAGAGAGCCUGCUCGCAGGCUAGAAUU